rnacentral:pre_miRNA from 2 species
UCUUAUGGAUGAGCAAAGGAAGUGGUUUCUUGAAAUAGAAUCUACUCUGGGUGAAGAUGCCAUGAGCA